AAUAGAUACCCGGUAGUCCAUGCCGUAAACGUUGGGAACUAGAUGUGGGGACCAUUCCACGGUCUCCGUGUCGCAGCUAACGCAUUAAGUUCCCCGCCUGGGGAGUACGGCCGCAAGGCUAAAACUCAAAGGAAUUGACGGGGGCCCGCGACAAGCGGCGGAGCAUGCGGAUUAAUUCGAUGCAACGCGAAGAACCUUACCAAGGCUUGACAUAUACGAGAACGCUGCAGAAAUGUAGAACUCUUUGGACACUCGUAUACAGGUGGUGCAUGGUUGUCGUCAGCUCGUGUCGUGAGAUGUUGGGUUAAGUCCCGCAACGAGCGCAACCCUCGUCGUAUGUUGCCAGCACGUAAUGGUGGGAACUCAUAUGAGACUGCCGGGGUCAACUCGGAGGAAGGUGGGGAUGAGGUCAAAUCAUCAUGCCCCUUAUGUCUUGGGCUUCACGCAUGCUACAAUGGCCGGUACAAAGGGCUGCAAUACCGGCAAGGUGGAGCGAAUCCCAAAAAGCCGGUCUCAGUUCGGA
rnacentral:rRNA from 1 species